rnacentral:lncRNA from 1 species
AGUGUCCGGCGCCCCCUUCCCUUCGCCAGGCCCGUUUGGCGCCUUCACUCGGGAAGACGUCGGCCAGGACUUUGCGCUUUGGAGACGUCUUACUUCGGCAGCACUCGCACACUGCGAGAUCCGACACGGGCAGCGGGGACCUAGGGAGCCGGGGACGCUGCCUGUCGGGUACGGUUCCGCAGCUACCGCAGCCCCGUGGGCCAUGGUUAGUCUCCCCCCGACACCGCUCCCUCUAGAGCUCCGGGCUUCGGAAGCGGCUGCACGUGGGCAUGGCUGGAGAGGUUCCGCUGGCUUGGGGCAGUCGCCGGGAUUCCGACUGGUUGGUGUGGGGUGUGGCCUGUGCUAUCCAGCUCCCAGCUGAUCCUAAUGUGCGGCACAGCGGAAACCACCGGUCCACAUCAGUGCUUCUCACUUAAAGGGGCUUACGAAUCGUCGGGGGUGGGGGAGCUGGACUUGGAAUUUUUUAAGAGAUGAGGUCUCACUCUGUCACCCAGGCUGGAGUGCAGUGGCGCGAUUACGGCUCACUGCAGACUAGACCUCCUGGGCUCAACUUUAAUGUAAAUUGGGAUUGGGUAGGUCUGUAAGGGGACCCGAGCUCCCCUCCCAUGUUGUUGCCAAGCUCCUGAGCUCGGCCUGGUGGCGGGUGGGGGCCGGGAGGAGAAGGACACGUUAGUAAGGAAGCUGCAGGACGACUCCAGGGGCCUCCCACCUGGUCUCCACCCCCCUCCCCCACCCAUUCUUGACGCUGCAUCCAUGAUUGUUCUAAACAACCUAAAGCAGAAAUCUUAGAGCAAAUAACGAAAACUGGCAGAAGGCCAUUUGAUAUCUCCUUAAAAAAUUCAUGUAAAAAAUUACAUAAACGUUUCAAAGCAGUAUGUAUAAAUUUGAAAUACUGGAAAUGAACGCAGACCAUUAAAGGAAUAGUUAAUUAUUUGAUUCCAUUAUGAAAUACUGUCUAGCCGUCUUAAAAAGGUGUUCAUGAAGCUUUUAGUAUUCAGCAAAACCAAAACAAAUCCCCCUGAAAUAUAGUUUUAACUAUGGAAGAAAAAAAUGUAUAGGAAAAUAACGAAAUAGCCUUUUCGGAGUGAUUUUCUUUUUAACUUCUCGUUUUUAAAUAUUUAAUCAUUUUCUACGAUGGGAAACACCACUUCCUCACACACACUCAUGCUCCCAGACUUUAUUUAGCUACAAACGGCAUCAUAAUACAAAUACUGUUCUGCAGUCCGUGUGUGUUUCAAUGCAACUGCAUUUCUCAGACAUGUUUCUAAGAUUUGAGUCCUUAGUAAAUUUUGUAUUCCAUAUCUCAUUACCUUGAGAUAAGGAAUAAAAGGCCCUGUCCAACCCUGUCACCUGGAAGAGCAUCCAGGCCCUUUAAGGCUUAGUCUAUCUAGGAUUAUGCCUUCAGACUUGGAUACAGCCUCCCGUCCUAACCGGCCCCUGUAUUCAUUACCUCUCCUGUAUGUUUUCAGAGCCCACCAAGGAGCGGCCAUCGCUACUCACUGGCCACUCUUGAAUCCUUUUUGGCUCCUUUUCCUCAGUCCAACCUGGGUUCCUCAGAGAAGAGACUGUAGUCCUGGGACUGCAUUUCUUUUCCGCCCUCUCCCUAUGUGACUGCCCCAAUUCCCAUGGAUUUAAAUAGCAUCUUGACACACAAGAUGCCUCACUUAUCGUCUCCGGCCCUGGCCUCUGCCUGAAUUCCAGGCUAGAAUAUCCACAGUGCGUAAUGGACAUAUGCCCUUAGGUGUUGCACAAACAUCUCAAAUUGAACAUAUCCGGAAAAAUACACUUCUGAACUUCGUAGCAUUCAGAAUAAAACUCAAACCUCCAGAUGGCCGGCAGGGCCUCCAGUGAUGGGAAUCCUGUCUCACCUCACUUGGUGCCACUCUCCCCUUUACUCAUUUUCCUGGCCUUUCCCCGGCCCCACUUACCCAGAAAUCUUUUACUGUGCAUCUCCUAUGUGCCAGGCACCUGAUAGGUGCUGGGAAUAUAGCAGUGGAUGAGAAAGAAAAAAGACCCAGUCCUCAUGGAGCUGACUUCCUAGUGACAGGAGCAGCGGAUAAAGCAAAUCACUGAAGGCAGCUGGAAAUUACUUUCCGGUUAAGAGGACAGGCUCCUUCCCCUCCUCACAUGGCUACCUUCAGAUCACUUGGGUCUCAGCUUAAACACCACCUAUUGACAGAGGCCUCGCAUGUUACCUCAUUCUUUAGCCCUACUUUGCAUCCUUAAAAAGCACUCAUCAAAAUUUGCAAUUAUCUUGUCGGGUUUUUGUUCUUUGGUCUUGAUUCAUAAUGAAUGCAUCGCACUAUUUUGUAAAUCCAGUGUUUCGUUUCGUGUCUUGAAUCCCAUCCAUUCCAGCGCAUAGAUGAGGCCCUGUCUGUUCAACAUUCAUCACCGUGUUUACUAUCUAGAGCAGCAAUUCUCAAAGUAUGGUAAUUGGGACCCGAAGACUCUUCACAGGGUUCAUGAGCGCAAAACUAUUUUCAGACCAACAUGUUCUCUGCCUUCCUUCGCUCAUGAGUACAUAGUGGAAUUUUCUAGAGGUUACACAAUUUGAAUAUUGCAACACAUUGAACGAAGACGCAGGUACCAGAACAUAGCUAUCUCCUAUUAAGCCAGACAUUAAAGAGAUUUGAAAAAAUACAAAAUACUGCUUUUGGCUAGGCAAAGUGGCUCGCACGUAUAAUCUUGGCACUUUGGGAGGCUGAGGAAUUGCUAGAGACCAGCCAGGGCAACCCUACUAAAAAAUUAGCUGGGCGUGGUGGCACAUGCCUGGGGUCCCAGCUACUCAGGAAGCUGAGGUGGGAGGAUCGCUUGAGCCCAGGAGUUUGAGGGUGUAGUGAGCUAUGAUCAAACCACUACAUUGCAGCCUGGGCAACAGAGCAAGACCCUGUCUCAAGACAAAAAACAAAAAAUAAAACCCCAGAUACCACCCUUGCCACUAAUUUUUUGUCUUAGAAAAAUUAUUUCUCAUAAA